rnacentral:rRNA from 1 species
GACGUAGGGGGCCAGCGUUGCUCGGAAUUACUGGGCGUAAAGGGUUCGUAGGCGGUGUGGCAAGUCGGAAGUGAAAUCUCUAGGCUCAACCUAGAGGCUGCUCCCGAAACUGCCAUGCUAGAGUGCGGGAGAGGCGAGUGGAAUUACAGGUGUAGCGGUGAAAUGCGUAGAUAUCUGUAGGAACACCCGUGGCGAAGGCGGCUCGCUGGACCGCAACUGACGCUGAGGAACGAAAGCUAGGGGAGCAAACAGGAUUAGAUACCCUGGUAGUCCUAGCCCUAAACGAUCAGGACUUGGGGUGCAUCCCGUUGGGGGUGCGUCCCGUAGCUAACGCGUUAAGUCCUGCGCCUGGGGAGUACGGUCGCAAGACUGAA